rnacentral:rRNA from 1 species
AGAUUGAACGCUGGCGGCAUGCCUAACACAUGCAAGUCGAACGGGAGUAGCAAUACUCUAGUGGCGGACGGGUGAGGAAUACGUAGGAAUUUGCCCUUAAGUGGGGGAUAACCCGGGGAAACCCGGAUUAAUACCGCAUGACCUCGAAAGAGCAAAGUGGGGGAUCGCAAGACCUCACGCUUUUGGAGAAGCCUACGUCGGAUUAGCUAGUUGGUGAGGUAAUGGCUCACCAAGGCGACGAUCCGUAACUGGUCUGAGAGGAUGAUCAGUCACACCGGAACUGAGACACGGUCCGGACUCCUACGGGAGGCAGCAGUGGGGAAUAUUGGACAAUGGGCGCAAGCCUGAUCCAGCAAUGCCGCGUGUGUGAAGAAGGCCUUC